AAUUGUUUCUCAAAUGACUGAACGGACUCAAUUUUCAAUCUCGCUUUACCGGAAGCAACUGUAAUAGCCCUCUCCAAGACCAUCGGCUCAGUUCUUUGUUGACGCUCCGGUUCCUAAUUCAGAUCGAAUGUUCAAGUCAUUAUCAAAUCGAAUCAGCUAUCUCUAUCUUGUCAUUCCUACUGCUAUCUCAUCGUUGUAAAGUUUCAUGGAAAUGACAACUGCUUGGGAGCAAAAGAUUCAUUUUUCUGUGCGCAUACACACAGAAUACUUGGGAGUUAUUUGGAACCCAAUUGCAUGUACGUGGGGUGGGCUAGAGGUUUCGCGUCCCAACUAUUUAAACCACCAGUUUAUAAGGUAAAUAGUAUUUUGUAAUCUCUAAUUAAUUAGUUAUGAUCGUUACCAUUUCAAAAUCAUUUUUGGUAAAAUAUUUAUCGCUUACUAUAAUUUUUAGUAUUUUAUAUAUUUUUUUUAUUUUUUAUAGUAUUUUACUAUUUCUUACUUAAACUAAAAUAACUUACAUUUUAGAUACAUACUAUUAUAAUUCAAAUUAUAAUA